UCAAAUCCAUCAUUAUAAAAAAUUUAAAAUUUUUUAGACCAAGCUUGCAAUAAAAUUCAUAUUUUGGUUGCAAUAAAAUUUGUAUUUUGGACCAUCGGUCAACUCUAAAACUUUUUGGACAAAAUCCCAAUUUUUGACAUUCACGGAACCAAAUUUGCAAUUUUGUCUAAUGCAAAGCGAAGAGGGAUAUACAGACCAAAAAAUCAAAUCCAGUUCUUCACUUCAGGUCCGUGGCUGCGUGCCCUAGCCUCCGUCCGGCGUCCACCCUCGUUCAGUCGUUCAUCUCCUCCAGAAGCACCGGCGACUACUAUCUCCGAUUUUGUAGGUCGCGAAUCAAAUACAUUUGGUCCAUUUCAAACCUUGAUCACCCACGUCAUGGGUUGAAAGAAAAAGAACAAUAGAUCCAGCAAUGAUAAAGCAUCCGGCCCGAAUCAAGCAUCCAACCCGAAUCAAGAAACCAUCUCAAUAUUGUAUGAUGCGCAAAACGGGGAUAAAGCAUCCGUCUCGAAUGAAGAAUCCAACCCAAUGCUUCGUAAUGUAGAACAACCGAAAGAAAAAUCCGACCUUAAAGAUGAAGAUCCCAAGGGUGUUUACUUCAAAAAAGAUAAAAAAUGUGGGGAAAAAUAUUAAAAGAAUUGCAAGUUAUGGGUCCUGUUUUUAACAGAAUACAUGAUCACGACUUCUAUAAAUAAUCCUUGGAGUACAAUGAGCGUAAAAGAAUAUCCAGGCUUCGUUGGGAGAAGUACUCGAAGGAUUUAGAUGAGGUAAGUAGAUAUUUUUAUUGUUUAUUUUUAAAAUUACUUGUUAACAUAUUUUAUUUUAAAUAUAUGAAAGCAAAACUUUCUAGGAGUAGAAAAGAUAAGAAAAAAACACACCAAUCAAAACAAUUGGCCAUCAUUCAAGAUAUUAGGGACUCUACUACAUUUUUUUCUCGAUCAGUUUGUUACAAAUUAUUUACACUAUUGAAUUAUUUUAAAACUUUUGUCUGAUUAAAACUCUAAUUAUUAAAGAUGCUAAUUGUAGAAAUCAUAAGCAAAUAUUUUCUCACACUUUUAACCUGCAUGGACAAAGCGAAUAUUCUGUUUCACGUAUCGUUAAGCUGUUGAUGCUUUCAUCAUCAAUGAGCAAAUGUAAGCUUCAAUUUGUUGAUCAAAAAAUAUUUGUAUCCAAGCAUCUCAUCUGAAAAUCCGAUCCGAAAUUUGGAUAGCAAUUAUAAAAAAAUUCUAUUAACUCCAAUUUUUGUAUGUAGGUAGCUAAUAAUCUAAAGUACAUUGCUAUAAUCAGCUAAAUACAAAAUACAAAAAAUAAUGAGAUACUGCUUAGGUUUUCUGUGGAGGAUAUGUGACAGAAAUUCUGUGUAAAUCGUUUAUAAAUAUAAAAAUUAAAUUAUACUUUUAGCAAGUUUUAGCAACGACUACAAUUUAAUGAAAAACCAAUUCUAGGAAAGUUUUAGCAAUUAUCCAAAAUGCAUGCUAUUAAGUGAAACAUCGACAGUUUUUUAAAAAUAUUUGCAAUUUAGUAUACUAACUGUUCUAGUACAUUAGCUUGUUUAAAAUCAAAUACAUAAAAAAUAAGGGAAUUUACAAAUUGAAAAGGAUGCAAAUCACCACUAACAACAAAUGUUUUUUUUUUUUUUUUUUUUUUUUUUUGUAUAUGAAAAUUGCAUAAAAAGUAAUCAAUCUAGAUGUUUUUUCUUGACAAAAUUCGUAUAAUUUUUUGUUUUCUUUUCUGCAGAUGCUAAACUUUAUGCAAUAAUAAUGCUCAGUUUAAAUAAGCUGCAACUGUUGCAACUAAUAUACUUAUGUAAAAUGAUGAAACUACCCUUCUAUUAUUACUGCUGCUGUAAACUAGUAUCACAUCCUAAAAUAAUUUUUUUUUACAAAAUUAACAGUGUACUUUACAAAUACAAUGCAUAACAUGACAUGCAAAAGUAUAAUGCUAUAACAUGCAAAAUCUACUAUCCGGAAUUUCUCAAGUUUAUACACUAAUGGUAUCUUAUAUGCAACUAUCCACGAUUUUACACUAAUCACAGGCAAGGGAGAUGAUGAUGUCAAAUGUGUCGAUGGUGCUCAUGGGCAGCCGGUGACAAAGCCAGCUGUUGAAGACCUUGUGACAGGUCGUGGAAUUACUCUUAGGAAUCAAGUUACUACUUGUUUUAAAACAAACCCUCCCUUCAUCUGUCUUACCAUCAGUAGUAACUGGAUUCCUAAGAGUAAUUCCACGACCUGUCACGAGGUCUUCAACAGCUGGCUUUAUCAUCGGCCGCCCAUGAGCACCUUUGACACCAUCAUCUCCCUUACCUGUGAUUAGUGUAAAAUCGUGGAUAGUUGCACAUAAGAUACCAUUAGUGUAUAAACUUGAGGAAUUUCGGAUAGUGAAUUUUGCAUGUUAUAGCAUUAUACUUUUGCAUAUCAUGUUAAGUCAUCCUACUUUGAUAAUCUGAUAGCUACUUUAUAAAUAAACUAAUAUCAUAUGAACCAUAUCUAUUUUUAUGCAUUGUAUUUGUAAAGUACACUGUUAAUUUUGUAAAAAAAAAUAUUUUAGGAUGUGAUACUAAUUUACAGCAGCAAUAAUAAUAGAAGGGCAGUUUCAUCAUUUUAUAUAAGUAUAUUAGUUGCAACAGUUGCAGUGUAUUUAAACUGACCAUUAUUAUUGCAUAAAGUUUAGCAUCUGCAGAAAAGAAAACAAAAAAUUAUACGAAUUUUGCCAGGAGAAAACAUCUAGAUUCAUUACUUUUUAUGCCAUUUUCAUAUACAAAAAAAAAUCAUUUGUUGUUAGUGGUGUUUUGCAUCUUUUUCAAUUUGUAAAUUCCCUUAUUUUUUAUGUAUCUGAUUUUAAACAAGUUAAUGUGCUGGAACACUUAGUAUACUAAAUUGCAAAUAUUUUUAAAAAACUGUCGAUGUUUCACUUAAUAGCAUGCAUUUUGGAUAUUUGCUAAAACUUUCCUAUAACUGGUUUUUUAUUAAAUUGUAGUCCUUGCUAAAAGUAUAAUUUAAUUUUUAUAUUUGUAAACAAUUUACACAAAAUUUCUGUCACAUAUCCUCCGCAGAAAACCUAAGCAGGAUCUCAUUAUUUUCUGUAUUUUGUAUUUAACUGAUUAUAGCAAUGUACUUUAGAUUAUCAGCUACCUACAUACAAAAAUUGGAGUUAAUAGAAAUUUUUCGUAAUUGCUAUCCAAAUUUCAGAUCGGAUUUUCAGAUGAGAUGCUCGGAGACAAAUAUUUUUUGAUCAACAAAUAGAAGCUUACAUUUGCUCAUUGAUGAUGAAAGCAUCAACAGCUUAACGAUACGUGAAGCAGAAUAUUCGCUUUGUCCAUGCAGGUUAAAAGUGUGAGAAGAUAUUUGCUUAUGAUUUCUGCAAUUAGCAUCUUUAAUAAUUAGAGUUUUAAUCUGGCAAAAGUUUUAAAAAUAAUUCAAUAGUGUAAAUAAUUUGAAACAAACUGAUCGAGAAAAAUUGUAGUAGAAUCCCUCAUAUCUUGAAUGAUGCCAAUUGUUUUGAUCGGUGUGCUUUUUUCUUAUCUUUUCUACUCAUAGAAAGUUUUGUCUGCAUAUAUUUAAAAUAAAAUAUGUUAACAAGUAAUUUAAAAAAAACAAUAAAAAUAUCUACUUCAUCUAAAUCCUUUGAGUACUUCUCCCAACGAAGUCUGGAUAUUAUUUUAUGCUUAUUGUACUCCACGGAUUAAUUAUGGGGGUCGUGAUCAUGUAUUCUGCUAAAAAUAGGACCCAUAACUUGCAAAUCUUUUAAUCUUUUUUCCCACAUUUCUUUAUUUUUCUUAAAGUAAACACCAAUGGGAUCUUCAUCUUUAAGGUUAGAUUUUUCUUUCGGUUGUUCCAUUAGUGUAUAAACUUGAGAAAUUUCGGAUAGUGGAUUUUUCAUGUUAUAGCAUUAUACUUUUGCAUGUAAUGUUAAGCCAUCCUACUUUGAUACUCUGAUAGCUACUUUAUAAUUAAACUCAAUUACAAAUAUCUUAUGUGUAGCUAUUCACAAUUUUACACUAAUCACAGAUAAGGAGAUGGUGUCGAUGGUGCUCGUGACAGGUCGUGGAAUUACUCUUGGGAAUCCAGUUACUACUGAUGGUAAGACGAACAACGAACAGGGGGAGGGUUUGUUUUCAAUUCAAUGAAACUUAGAGGGAUUUUACCUUUGAAGAUUGAAUGGUGUGCACCGGAUAGCUAUUUUUGGGGUUGAGGGGAAUUUUAUUCGGAAGAUUUGACAUUAUAUUUUAGGGAAAACAUACUUGAAAAAAUUUGUUUCUCACACGUGAUCAACAUCAUUGUCCACUGAUACUUCAUCUACUCAUGUCUACUCUUUAUAGAACAACACAAUUCAUAUAUAUUUCUUUA